rnacentral:rRNA from 1 species
GACGAACGCUGGCGGCGUGCUUAACACAUGCAAGUCGAACGGAAAGGCCCUGCUUUUGUGGGGUGCUCGAGUGGCGAACGGGUGAGUAACACGUGAGUAACCUGCCCUUGACUUUGGGAUAACUUCAUGAAACUGGGGCUAAUACCGGAUAGGAGCUCCUGCUGCAUGGUGGGGGUUGGAAAGUUUCGGCGGUUGGGGAUGGACUCGCGGCUUAUCAGCUUGUUGGUGGGGUAGUGGCUUACCAAGGCUUUGACGGGUAGCCGGCCUGAGAGGGUGACCGGCCACAUUGGGACUGAGAUACGGCCCAGCCUCCUACGGGAGGCAGCAGUGGGGAAUAUUGCACAAUGGGCGGAAGCCUGAUGCAGCACAGCCGCGUGCGGGAUGACGGCCUUCGGGUUGUAAACCGCUUUCGCCUGUGACGAAGCGUGAGUGACGGUAAUGGGUAAAGAAGCACCGGCUAACUACGUG